rnacentral:piRNA from 1 species
UAACAAAACUACGUGACACUGGGGUACUCA